GCACAGGCAUCCAUCCUCCCCAGCCAAACUGCGAAUCUAACAGAAGCAGAGACCGUGCUUGGUCGCCGGCCAGGAGCCUGCCUGAGGCUGGCGGUGCCAACCCCAUCUGACUGGCAGUCUCCAGGAUCCCCUGUGAAACGGCUGGCUUUGGGGUCGAGACCCACUGCAAGGAGAGGUAUGUUCGUGUAGGAAAAACCGGAAUACAUGGGGUUCCAGGCAUCCCCUGGGGGUCUUGGAACAUCUUCCCCGUGGAGCAGGGGCGACUCUUGUACAGUCUGGUGUCUCUGGUGCUCUCUUCAUCGUGGCCGCAGUGGUGGAGGCUUCCUCCCUGGCUUUCCAACUGCCUCGUCUCCUACCCAACCCCAGUUGCCCCAGGGCCGCCUCAGGGGCCGCCAUGAUCCACGAAGCAGCACUUGGGAGGAAGAACUUCGCACCCACACUCCAGAGAUCCUGAUACGAUGGCAGAAAAAUCAAGACCAGGAGGCAUCAAAGGGUGAUCAAAUGCGAGAUACCCUUGUUCCUUCUGCGUUGACCAGUGAAGCAGGCCAGCUCUGCACGAGCCUUCCAGGUCGCCCACUCCUGACCUUAAACUACAGCUCGCUCCCUAGUAAGUGUGGGCUUGCUCCCCACGCUCCAAACUUGGCUUUGCCAGGAACUGAAGUUUGGAGUGUUUCGCAGCCCACCCGGCCUCCCCAUCUCUGGGUGUGGCACACCAAGGGCGGUGUCCCGUAGUGGGUGGGAGCCCCCCCCCCCCCCCCCCCCCUGCUCUGUCCUCCGGGUAGCUCCAUCUGUCCAUCUGUGUCUCCCACUGGCUUUAGCCUGUGUUUGGAGGCGGCACCCGGGGGGCGGGGGGGGGCAGUCAAACUGUCCGUUCCCUGCUUCUGCUCCCACCAGGCCACAGCCCCUCCCUCGUAGCCUAUCCGGAGGUCGUCCCUUCUGGGUCUGGGACCUGUUCCGCAUCCCCCUCCUUCCAGGACUGAUUGGGGUUAACCGCUCACGGCGGCUGCUCCCCCCUCUCAGGGCGCCUCCGCCCCUUCCGCUCCCCUUCCCGCGUGAAGCCCCCUCGCCAUCCCUCUGGAAGGUGGCAUUUGUUUCCUGCCGGGACCGGACUGACACAGACCGAAGGGGUAGGACGUCGACCCCUCGGACCCAGGCUGUCCCGGGGUCCUGCUGCCGCCCGCCGCCCCGGUGCUGCCGACGGCUGGGCCCCUCCGGUGCCAGGCCCGCGCCGAGCUCCCGCCAGCCUUAUUUAUUUAUCGAGCAACAUGCAAGCACAGUUUCCUUUUGUGUCUAAUGUGUCAGCAUUUCAGUGGAUUCUGGCUUCAAGGCUUGGAUUUUGUUGACAAUAAUGAGAUCACCCAGACAAUUAUCGUUUGAUUUUUCAGUUUGCCGGA